rnacentral:misc_RNA from 1 species
UCCUUCUUACGAAGGCAGUCUCGUCUGACACGUAUAACAGACAAUAAGGGUUGCGCUCGUUAAUCCACUUAAGGAUACCAUUCACAUGACGAGCUGACGACAGCCGUGCAGCACCUGUCCAGAACCCUCGAAGGGGGCCUCGAUUUCUCGAGGCUUGCAUCUGGAUUUCAAGCCCUGGUGAGGUUCCUCGCUUGGAGUCGAAUUGAACCACAUGAUCCACUGCUUGUGCAAAUUCCCGCCUAUUCCUUUGAGUUUUAAUCUUGCGAUCGUACUUCCCAGGCGGCAGACUUAACGCGUUAGCUUCGCCACCGGAAGGGUCGAUGCUCCCAAUGGCUAGUCUGCAUAGUUUAGGGUGUGGAAUA